rnacentral:lncRNA from 1 species
GAAAAUCGAGACGACAUGUGGAAAUUCUGCCAUAUAUUUGAACUCAACAUCAAUCUUGAGUUUCUUAGAACAAAAGGUACCAUAUCUUGUUUAGAAAUGUAUGAACAAAAGCUUUACUUGUAAGAUCUGUUGCUUGUUUUUCAUCAAGCAUGGCAACAAAUCCAUUGAUGUUUUUGUUGUAAGAGUACAAAAUCACUUCUUCCGCUGUCUUUUUGCUGCAGAGAUUGAUUCAAGAAAACAAAAUUAUGAGAUUGGAACUAUGCAAACUCAAACAAUGGCUUGAAAUCCUAUUCACCUUCCCAACGCUGAACCCAACAAAUCAUAAUGUGACGCUGUUGCGCGUUGAUGGUCCAAUGGGGAAGUACUCGAACCGUGAGGAUGCGACCCCAAAUAAACAAUGUAAGGCUACACGAGAAAAAGAAAUGUCUCUAAAUCAAAAAAGAAAAUAGAGUCGGAAACAAAAUGAUGAUACAAGGGAAGUGAUUGCUUGCCUUUUUGGUGGCAAUGGUGCAAGAUUGUAACAAAGUGAGAAGAAGAAAUAUGAGAAGGAUUAUUGGAGAAAGGUUGAAGAAAUCCAUGUGAUUUUUGUUUGAUUGAUUUCAAAAAGUUUGGCAUUGUAUUUGUAGUAUCUAAAUUUAGAUGUAAAUUAGACAUUGACUUGUUUCUUUUGGCCAUGAUUAGUGAAAAGGG